UACGUAGGGUGCAAGCGUUGUCCGGAAUUAUUGGGCGUAAAGAGCUCGUAGGCGGUCUGUCGCGUCGGCUGUGAAAUCCCGGAGCUCAACUCCGGGUCUGCAGUCGAUACGGGCGGACUCGAGUUCGGCAGGGGAGACUGGAAUUCCUGGUGUAGCGGUGAAAUGCGCAGAUAUCAGGAGGAACACCGGUGGCGAAGGCGGGUCUCUGGGCCGAUACUGACGCUGAGGAGCGAAAGCGUGGGGAGCGAACAGG
rnacentral:rRNA from 1 species